rnacentral:rRNA from 1 species
AUUGAACGCUGGCGGCAGGCCUAACACAUGCAAGUCGAGCGGAUGAAGGGAGCUUGCUCCUGGAUUCAGCGGCGGACGGGUGAGUAAUUCCUAGGAAUCUGCCUGGUAGUGGGGGAUAACGUCCGGAAACGGGCGCUAAUACCGCAUACGUCCUGAGCGAGAAAGUGGGGGAUCUUCGGACCUCACGCUAUCAGAUGAGCCUAGGUCGGAUUAGCUAGUUGGUGGGGUAAAGGCCUACCAAGGCGACCAUCCGUAACUGGUCUGAGAGGAUGAUCAGUCACACUGGAACUGAGACACGGUCCAGACUCCUACGGGAGGCAGCAGUGGGGAAUAUUGGACAAUGGGCGAAAGCCUGAUCCAGCCAUGCCGCGUGUGUGAAGAAGGUCUUCGGAUUGUAAAGCACUUUAAGUUGGGAGGAAGGGCAGUAAGUUAAUACCUUGCUGUUUUGACGGUACCAACAGAAUAAGCACCGGCUAACUUCGUG